AGAGUUUGAUCAUGGCUCAGAAUCAACGCUGGCGGCGCGCUUAACACAUGCAAGUCGCACGAGAAAGGGGAGCAAUCCCUGAGUAAAGUGGCGUACGGGUGAGUAACACGUGGAUCAUCUACCUUUUAGUGGGGAAUACCCCCGGGAAACUGGGGACAAUACCGCAUAAGCUCGUGAGAGGAAAGCAGCAAUGCGCUGAAAGAGGAGUCCGCGGCUGAUUAGCUAGUUGGUGAGGUAACGGCCCACCAAGGCGAAGAUCGGUAGCCGGCCUGAGAGGGCACACGGCCACACUGGCACUGAAAUACGGGCCAGACUCCUACGGGAGGCAGCAGUGGGGAAUCUUGCACAAUGGAGGAAACUCUGAUGCAGCGACGCCGCGUGAACGAUGAAGCCCUUCGGGGUGUAAAGUUCUUUCGACGGGAACGAUAAUGACGGUACCCGAAGAAGAAGCUGCGGCUAACUACGUGCCAGCAGCCGCGGUAAUACGUAGGCAGCAAGCGUUGUUCGGAAUUACUGGGUGUAAAGAGUGCGUAGGCGGUGCUCUAAGUCUGUUGUGAAAUCUCCCGGCUUAACUGGGAGGGUGCAGCGGAAACUGGAGUGCUUGAGGGUGGGAGAGGUAAGCGGAAUUCCUGGUGUAGCGGUGAAAUGCGUAGAUAUCAGGAGGAACACCUGUGGUGUAGACAGCUUACUGGACCACUUCUGACGCUGAGGCACGAAAGCGUGGGUAGCAAACAGGAUUAGAUACCCUAGUAGUCC
rnacentral:rRNA from 1 species